GCUCUAUGCACUAGAACAACUACAUUAAUCUGUAUUGGUUCUGGUGACUAUAGUGUCCCUUUAUUGAAUUGUAUAUUUCUCGCUGUAAAUUAAACUUUGCUAGUUAUAUAAAAAAAAAACUGGCUCCUAACUUUUUUUACUGGCACCUAGAUUCCAAAUUUGUCAAGUCCUGUACUAGUGAAUGUGUCUGUCAGAGUAUGUCAAAUCAGUGAAGGUGUGUGUCAAUCAGAGAGAGUGUGUGUCUGUCAAUGCAUAUUUGUUACUAUCAGUGAUUGUGUGUGUGUUUGUCAGAGAGUGAAAAAUCAAUAAGGGGGUGUGUAUGUCAGUGUAUGUGUAUCUGAGAAUGUGUACCUGUGAAUGGGUGUCUUGGUUAAGCAUUGUGAGUGCCAAUGAUUGUGUGUCUGACUGUGAGUGUAUGUGUAUCAGUGAAGGUGUGUGUCUGUCAGGCAAAGUGUCACUGUUUGGUCAUGCCUAGGGAAACACAAAACCAAAAUACACCACUAAAUGGAAUGGUUCCAUACAGUAGAAACUUGUAC